AGCAACGUGGCGCAGCGGAAGCGCGCCGGGCUCAUAACCCGGAGGACCGUAAGCAUCACCACACACUAUGCAAUCCCAUUCCAUUCUAACGACGCCGUAGUCGGAUCGAAACCGAGCGUUGCUA
rnacentral:tRNA from 1 species